rnacentral:rRNA from 1 species
GCGCAGCAGGCGAGAAACCUCCACAAUACACGAAAGUGUGACGGGGCCAUCCCGAGUGCCGUCCGCUGAGGACGGCUUUUCCCCAGUGUACAUAGCUGGGGGAAUAAGGAGAGGGCAAGCCUGGUGUCAGCCGCCGCGGUAAUACCAGCUCUCCGAGUGGUGGGGACGCUUAUUGGGCCUAAAGCAUCCGUAGCCGGCUGGGCAAGUCCUCCGUUAAAUCCAACGAUUCAAUCGUUGGGCUGCGGGGGAUACGUGGUCCAGCUUGGGGGGCGGGAGAGGCCGACGGGUA